rnacentral:rRNA from 1 species
UACGUAGGGGGGCUAGCGUUGUCCGGAAUCAUUGGGCGUAAAGCGCGUGUAGGCGGUCCGGUAAGUCCGCUGUGAAAGUCGGGGGGCUCAACCCUCGAAUGCCGGUGGAUACUGUCGGGCUAGAGUGCGGAAGAGGCGAGUGGAAUUCCUGGUGUAGCGGUGAAAUGCGCAGAUAUCAGGAGGAACACCAAUUGCGAAGGCAGCUCGCUGGGACGUUUACUGACGCUGGAGACGCGAAAGCGUGGGGAGCAAACAGG